AUUUGAACAAUGUAUUUUUUUUAUUUAUAUUGCAAUAAAAAUAUUAAAUUGAUCAGAGGUAGUACAAAUAAAUGCCUAUUAAUUUUUAAAACCCCAUAGUUGAAUAUCAGUUUAUUAAUUUUUAAAAUCCAUAAUUCUGAUGGGGCUUUCUUUGGGAACACGAGUCGAGCGGACGCAAGCGGUCUUAUCCGUGAUGCUGAUGGUCGGUGGCUGAGUAGGUUUGCUUAUAAUUUGGGCAUUGCUUCAGCAGUUAUUGCUAAAUCAUGGGGUCUUAAAUCUGAUCUGGAGUUGGCUUGGGCGCUUAGAUAUAGGUUCCUUAUUGGCGGAGGCUGAUUAAGAGAUUGUACGACGACUCAUUUUAUUCCAUGGAGACUGAAAUCCUCGUCUUCAAGGUGGCAGAUCCCGUUGUACUGCACAUUCACAGAAGCGGGGCGAGGCGGUGCAUUUCAUGGUGUCAAACAAUGACUAUAGAGUUUGGGACUUUGAUAUGGAGAGAUUUACGCUUUGCAAGCAUUUUGAGUAUCCUUGGCCAGUAAAUUGCAGUUGUUUGGAUGGGCCUGUCUCAUUUAAUAGGCUUCAGGAUGGAUUCGAAGAGCAGGAGGAGAUCGACUUCUUUGGGGAGAUCUCUGGUAUAUCAUUUAGCCCUGGCACUGAGUCCCUUACCUAUGGUAGCCUGCUUCAGCACCACUGACGCAGAAACCACUCGAAUCUUGACUCUGUGUUGUGAAAUGUCCUUAUCAAAUGUGCGCAAUGGGGAUUGAUCCUUUAGGUGGUGUACAUUCGGAUAGGGACAGUUGCCCCUUUUCAUAAAUGUUAAGAAUGGGGAUGAUAUGCUCAUGGCUUAUCAUCAAUUUUUGCUGCCUUGUGGUGCUUCGGGGUUUCAAUAAUGCCUUUAUCAUUCAGAGAGCGGAAGACGGUUGUUUCAUGAGUCAUAAAUCAUGGAGAUUGUGUAUAUGCUAACUGAUCUAUGAGUUAGGUGACGAGGUUAUGGAACUUUGUAACUGUACUUCUAGCCUUUUGAUUGUGGAGAUGUGAAUAAGGAGUUUUGUUUCUUUAA